rnacentral:rRNA from 1 species
GCGGCGUGCCUAACACAUGCAAGUCGAACGGAGAACUCAAAAAUCUUGCUUUGAGAGUUCUUAGUGGCGGACGGGUGAGUAACGCGUGGGCAACCUCCCCCUUAAACCGGGACAACCCUUGGAAACGAGGGCUAAUACCGGAUACACUUUUCUGAGGACAUCCUCGGGAAAGGAAAGGCGGCCUCUGAAAAUGCUGCCGAUAAGGGAUGGACCCGCGUUUGAUUAGCUGGUUGGUGGGGUAAAGGCCUACCAAGGCGACGAUCAGUAGCCGGCCUGAGAGGGUGAACGGCCACACUGGGACUGAGACACGGCCCAGACUCCUACGGGAGGCAGCAGUGGGGAAUCUUCCGCAAUGGACGAAAGUCUGACGGAGCAACGCCGCGUGUAUGACGAAGGCCUUCGGGUUGUAAAGUACUGUCUUUAGGGACGAACGGUAUCUAUGUGAACAAUGUAGGUACAUGACGGUACCUAAGGAGGAAGCCCCGGCUAACUACGUGCCAGCAGCCGCGGUAAUACGUAGGGGGCGAGCGUUGUCCGGAAUCAUUGGGCGUAAAGGGCGCGUAGGCGGAUUUUUAAGUCUGGUGUGAAAACUUGGGGCUCAACCCCAAGCCUGCAUCGGAAACUGGGAAUCUUGA